rnacentral:lncRNA from 1 species
GGAAACGCCCCCCACCCUACCAAGCACAGCCACUUGGCUCCCGAGAAGGGGGUGGCCCUGGUGGGGGGAGCGCCGCAGAGACGUGCGCGGUGAGCCUCUGCGGCUCGGGGUGGAUGGAUGCGGGUGUCGUUGGGGACCUCAAUCGGUGCCCCGCGGCCCGCACGCUUGGUGGCGGGGAGGCUAGGGCACGGCAUUGUCCCCUUGGGGAAGGGGGCCGGGGACUUCUUGGAAACCCCUCAGUGCUGUGAGUACUUGCGGCUCCCAGGAGCCCUCGCCCCGGGCGCUGCGGCCUGAUCUUUCAGACGUCUGUGGGCUCCUGUACGUAAGUGAGCGGCAGGGACCGGGCAGGGGAGGUGAGAAAGCCCGCAGUCCGUCCAGCCGUGCAGGGGCCCCGAAAUAAACCUGCGCUCCAGGUAGCGCCACGGCGGGGGCCUGAUCCGCGACGCCGGGAGAGUCUAGGAUGGAACUUCUUAGCCUCGGAGGAGGAGGAUGGGCAAAAACUCCAGUCCUGAAGAGGGUUUGGUUCUUGCGGGGAAAACUCCUUCGAGACCACGGCGUCUGAGAAAACACCUGACCAAGGAGGCGCGCGAGUGCGCGUGUCAGAGCAGGCCUCGGGGACCGAUUUGCACGGCGAAAACGCGGUCGGAGCGGGCGCAUCAAGUGUAUUGGCCGAGUCUUACCACAUGGACAGCUAAAGAAAAAAAAGUUUUGAAGAUAUUUUGCCAUAAAUGGCUCAGAAGACAAUGUAAAGGAAACCCCAUGCGCCUUCACGUACAAGCAGAGAUCAGAAUAGUUUGAAUAGGUCAGGACAACGUCUGUAGAUCUAAUUCCUAAGAGCAAUUCCACCAGCUGUCUCUGUGGUCACAUUUAUCUUAAAUUACAGCUUCUGCAAUAUUUUACAUCCUAAAUUCAAGGAGUUGCAGGUGGGGAUGUUUGAGUGGAGGAAAUAUGCAAUAUUAUCCUGCAGUUUACUGUCAAGAUACAUCUAACCUGUAUAAAGUUGACUUAAUUAUUCCUGAUUAUUUCUAAAAACCAUCCUUUUCCUGCAUCUGGAACUUAGCAUGAAGCGCUUGUGUGUGUGUCUCCUAUAUCCUGGGGUGCACAGCGACCAGCGCUCCUAUGUGACCUCUCUGCCACUGUACAGUUCCGCUUUUAAAAGAUGCCCGACUGUAAAUGUCAAAGUCAUAAAUAUUUCAGCAUUAUUUUCUUUCAAUUCCAAGUCAAGCCCGACAGGAUGCCUCUAAUUAGUGGCGGGCUCUCUGCAGGGCCCAGCCCCAGGACGAAAUUGGGGGAAAGCACGUGUAGUUCCAGUUACUCAGCCUCGGGAGCUGGAGCCCAGGAGGGGAGGGGCUGAGGCCAAGCCCACCCAGGUCACACCUGGAGCAGGACCUCGGAUCAAACUCAGUCUCCAGCGAGAGCAGGCUCAUUCUUUUCUCUUAAAGCUGGUGGUUAGCAGGGCUUAGAAGUUUUGUUUGUUUUCUUAAUUCCACAAAAAGAAAGGAAAUAAAAUAAUCAUAAAGUGAUUUUAACUCAAUCACUACGCCAAAGAGGGGAGUUCACUUUUUUUUUUUUGAAAAAUUUCUAUAAAUUUUCGUUUCUUCCGGGAUUCUUAAGACCUGACUAGCAGCCAGCAACAGUUUUCCUCCCGCUGGACCCCUCCUCUCAGCGCUCGGUAGGUCUGAACCACUGUGGGGGGGGGGGACAGCAAGGAAGAAUGAAGAGUGACUUUUCCGGUUCCAGCUGAGUAGCCCCUGGGCCAGCUGGAGGGAGUGUUCCGAGACCCGCCCUGGGAUCCUGGGAUCUCGUCAUCACAAGCCAGGCAGUCCGUCUGCCCUACCACCGCCUUUCCCCUCUGGCUCAGACCCCCGAUUCCCCACCCUGGUGCGGUGCCCCCCCACCCCCAUCCAACCCUGCGCCCACGCUUCUGUCACCAACCACCCCUGCUGUCCCGGGGCCCGCCGUCCACUGCCGCCCACCGCCGUCCACAGCCACCGACCCCUCCCCUGGCUGCAGGAAGGGCCUCCUUGCUGAUGGGCUGCGGGAGGUAAGCCUGGACGCCUCCCUCCGGGCUUGGGACCACUGUCGCCCUUCUCUACAGGACAGCUCCGGCCCACGCAGCUUGUAACUAGAGGAGACCAUAGAAAAUGGGACUCACUGGGCACGGGGUUGGGCGUCCUUUUUCCUCCCCUCCUUCCCUUCACCUCC